rnacentral:rRNA from 1 species
GACGAACGCUGGCGGCGUGCUUAACACAUGCAAGUCGAGCGAUGAAGCACCUUCGGGUGUGGAUUAGCGGCGAACGGGUGAGGAACACGUGAGGAAUCUGCCUUCCACUCUGGGAUAACUCCGGGAAACCGGGGCUAAUACCGGAUACUUUCAACUGGCGGCAUCGCCGGUUGAAGAAAGUUUUUCGGUGGAAGAUGACCUCGCGGCCUAUCAGCUUGUUGGUGAGGUAAUGGCUCACCAAGGCGACGACGGGUAGCCGGCCUGAGAGGGCGACCGGCCACACUGGGACUGAGACACGGCCCAGACUCCGACGGGAGGCAGCAGUGGGGAAUAUUGGGCAAUGGAGGAAACUCUGACCCAGCGACGCCGCGUGAGGGAUGAAGGCCUUCGGGUUGUAAACCUCUUUCAGCAGGGAAUAAGCGAAAGUGAAGGUACCUGCAGAAGAAGCACCGGCUAACUAUGUGCCAGCCGCCGCCGUAAGAC